AUGCACAGCGGGGGUGCGGGGAUGCACAGCGGGGGUGCGGGAUGCACACGCGGGGGUGCGGGGGUGCGGGAUGCACACGCGGGGUGCGGGUUCCGCCCCCGGCCGCCUUCACCGGCCCACAGCGCGGCCGGGCCCGGCCACGCGGCACCGCGACAUGGCGGCGGGGCCCGCGCGUCCCCGCGGCCCCGGGCGGGCGGCAGCGCCGGGCGGGCGGUCCCGAGAGCCCGGCCCGGUCCCGCUCCUGCUGCGGCCCGGCCCCGUGAGCCCGGCCCGGCCCCUCGAGCCCGCCCCCGCUCCUGCUGCAGCCCGGCCCGGCCCCGAGAGCCCGCCCCCGCUCCUGCUGCGGCCCGGCCCCGCAGGCUCCGCAGGCGCCGCCGGAUGUGGCGGCCCCCGGCGGGGCGGGCCGGGGCGGGGUUGGCGGAUCCCAUAAAUUGCCUCGCGCGGAGCCGCGCGGCCUCUUGCUCCGGAUCGGCCGAGGCCGGAGCCUCGUGGGAGCCGCGCCCGGAGCCAGCCCGGCCAUGGGGGCGCGUCCCCGGCGUGCGCCGGCAGCCCCGAGCCUCUGCCGGGGCCAGGCGGGCACUGUGGAGGCAGAGGUGGGGAGCUGAGCCUUAG
rnacentral:lncRNA from 1 species